rnacentral:rRNA from 1 species
AUUGAACGCUGGCGGCAUGCCUUACACAUGCAAGUCGAACGGCAGCACGGACUUCGGUCUGGUGGCGAGUGGCGAACGGGUGAGUAAUGCAUCGGAACGUACCCGGUAGUGGGGGAUAACUACCCGAAAGGGUGGCUAAUACCGCAUAUACUGUGCGCAGGAAAGCAGGGGACCUUCGGGCCUUGUGCUACCGGAGCGGCCGAUGUCAGAUUAGGUAGUUGGUGGGGUAACGGCCUAUCAAGCCUGCGAUCUGUAGCGGGUCUGAGAGGAUGAUCCGCCACACUGGGACUGAGACACGGCCCAGACUCCUACGGGAGGCAGCAGUGGGGAAUUUUGGACAAUGGGCGCAAGCCUGAUCCAGCCAUGCCGCGUGAGUGAAGAAGGCCUUCGGGUUGUAAAGCUCCUUCGGACGGAAAGAAAUCGCGCAGGCUAAUACCCUGCGCGGAUGACGGUACCGUCAUAAGAAGCACCGGCUAACUACGUGCCAGCCGCCGCCGUAA